rnacentral:rRNA from 8 species
GUUAUAUGGUCAAGUGAUUAAGCGCAUACGGUGGAUGCCUAGGCGGUAAGAGGCGAAGAAGGACGUUGUAGCUUGCGAUAAGCCACGGGGAGUCAGCAAACAGGCUUUGAUCCGUGGAUUUCCGAAUGGGGAAACCCACCUGUCGUAAGGCAGGUAUCUUGUACUGAAUCCAUAGGUGCAAGAGGCGAACCCGGGGAACUGAAACAUCUAAGUACCCGGAGGAAAAGAAAUCAACCGAGAUUCCCUUAGUAGCGGCGAGCGAACGGGGAUUAGCCCUUAAGUUGUUAGAGAGUUAGUGGAAGGAUCUGGAAAGUUCCGCGAUACAGGGUGAAAGCCCCGUACACGAAAGCGAUCUAGCAGUGAAAACGAGUAGGGCGGAGCACGAGAAACUCUGUCUGAACAUGGGGGGACCAUCCUCCAAGGCUAAAUACUCCUUACCGACCGAUAGUGAACCAGUACCGUGAGGGAAAGGCGAAAAGAACCCCGUUUAGGGGAGUGAAAUAGAACCUGAAACCGUGUGCGUACAAGCAGUGGGAGCCCUUCGGGGUGACUGCGUACCUUUUGUAUAAUGGGUCAGCGACUUACUUCUCAGUAGCAAGCUUAACCGAAUAGGGGAGGCGUAGGGAAACCGAGUCUUAACAGGGCGAUUGAGUUGCUGGGAGUAGACCCGAAACCGGGCGAUCUAUCCAUGGCCAGGGUGAAGGUGGGGUAACACCUGCUGGAGGCCCGAACCCACUUACGUUGAAAAGUGAGGGGAUGAGCUGUGGAUCGGAGUGAAAGGCUAAUCAAGCCCGGAGAUAGCUGGUUCUCCUCGAAAGCUAUUUAGGUAGCGCCUCGCGUCUCACCUCAGGGGGUAGAGCACUGUUUCGGCUAGGGGGUCAUCCCGACUUACCAACCCGAUGCAAACUCCGAAUACCUGAGAGUGCAAUCGCGGGAGACACACGGCGGGUGCUAACGUCCGUCGUGAAAAGGGAAACAACCCAGACCGCCAGCUAAGGUCCCAAAAUCACAUCUCAGUGGGAAACGAUGUGGGAAGGCCCAGACAGCCAGGAGGUUGGCUUAGAAGCAGCCAUCCUUUAAAGAAAGCGUAAUAGCUCACUGGUCGAGUCGGCCUGCGCGGAAGAUUUACCGGGGCUUAAGAUGUGUACCGAAGCUGCGGAUGCAAGCUUGCUUGCAUGGUAGAGGAGCGUUCUGUAAGCGGUAGAAGGUGUGCUGUAAGGCAUGCUGGACGUAUCAGAAGUGCGAAUGCUGACAUGAGUAACGAUAAAGGGGGUGAGAGGCCCCCUCGCCGAAAACCCAAGGUUUCCUGCGCAACGCUAAUCGGCGCAGGGUUAGUCGGCCCCUAAGGCGAGGCAGAGAUGCGUAGUCGAUGGGAAGCAGGUUAAUAUUCCUGCACCUCUUAUUACUGCGAUGGAGAGACGGAGAAGGCUAGGUCAUCCUGGCGACGGUAGUCCAGGUAUAAGCGAGUAGGCAGUGGGAUCAGGCAAAUCCGGUUCCACAAUGCUGAGACGUGAUAUCGAGUCCUUAUUUGGACGAAGUGAUUGACGCCAUGCUUCCAGGAAAAUCUUCUAAGCUUCAGGUAAUAAGAGACCGUACUCUAAACCGACACAGGUGGGUAGGAUGAGAAUUCCAAGGCGCUUGAGAGAACUCUGGUGAAGGAACUAGGCAAAAUGGUACCGUAACUUCGGGAGAAGGUACGCCCUUGUUGGUGAAGCGACUUGCUCGUGGAGCUGGUGAGGGUUGCAAUGAAAUGGUGGCUGCAACUGUUUAUUAAAAACAUAGCACUCUGCAAACUCGAAAGAGGACGUAUAGGGUGUGACGCCUGCCCGGUGCCGGAAGGUUAAUUGAUGGGGUUAGCGUUCGCGCGAAGCUCUUGAUCGAAGCCCCGGUAAACGGCGGCCGUAACUAUAACGGUCCUAAGGUAGCGAAAUUCCUUGUCGGGUAAGUUCCGACCUGCACGAAUGGCGUAAUGAUGGCCACACUGUCUCCACCAGAGACUCAGUGAAAUUGAACUCGCUGUUAAGAUGCAGCGUACCCGCGGCUAGACGGAAAGACCCCGUGAACCUUUACUACAGCUUCACACUGAAUUUUGAACCUACUUGUGUAGGAUAGCUGGGAGGCUUUGAAACCGAGACGCCAGUCUUGGUGGAGCCAACCUUGAAAUACCAGCCUGGUAUGUUUGGAGUUCUAACCAUGGCCCGUUAUCCGGGUCUGGGACAGUGUGUGGUGGGUAGUUUGACUGGGGCGGUCUCCUCCCAAAGAGUAACGGAGGAGCACGAAGGUACCCUCAGCGCGGUCGGAAAUCGCGCACUGAGUGCAAAGGCAUAAGGGUGCUUGACUGUGAGACAGACACGUCGAACAGGUACGAAAGUAGGUCUUAGUGAUCCGGUGGCUCUGUAUGGAAGGGCCAUCGCUCAACGGAUAAAAGGUACUCCGGGGAUAACAGGCUGAUACCGCCCAAGAGUUCAUAUCGACGGCGGUGUUUGGCACCUCGAUGUCGGCUCAUCACAUCCUGGGGCUGAAGUCGGUCCCAAGGGUAUGGCUGUUCGCCAUUUAAAGUGGUACGCGAGCUGGGUUUAGAACGUCGUGAGACAGUUCGGUCCCUAUCUGCCGUGGGCGUUUGAGAUUUGAGGGAAGCUGCUCCUAGUACGAGAGGACCGGAGUGGACGAACCUCUGGUGUUCCGGUUGUCACGCCAGUGGCAUUGCCGGGUAGCUAUGUUCGGACAGGAUAACCGCUGAAAGCAUCUAAGCGGGAAGCCCCUCCCAAGAUUAGAUCUCACUGACUCCUGAGAGUCCUGAAGGGCCCUUGAAGACUACAAGGUUGAUAGGCUGGGUGUGGAAGCGCAGUAAUGUGUGAAGCUAACCAGUACUAAUUGCCCGUGCGGCUUGACCAUAUAACACCCAA